ACGCCCCUUGGAUGCCUGCAGAGAAGCUCUGGGGCUUCAGUCAAUGACUCAGGGUAGCCACCGAACAUGAUGCUCGGGCAGUGGGUGCCACCUGGACUCCACUCUCCCCUCUCUCUGGGAUCAUAGAGUCCAAGGUGUUCUGUGGCCUCUCGGCCAAUCCCAGCAGCUCAGCGUGCAGAAGACCGAGGAGCCAUUGGUCAGUGUAGGAGGAAUUCAACACAACACGAAAUAAUCAACAAAUUCGGGGAAUGUUAAUCUGACCAUCACCAGUUACAAAUGAUGUUUCAUGCUACCUUCUAUUCCUGCCUUCAUAAAUCAAGCUCUAAAUCUCCAGGAAAAAAUGUGCUCAGGAUGGCCAGAGAAAUGUCCUUCCAACUGUGCAUGGAAAGGUAUGAUUUUGUGCAGCAGGUGAAGGACUGGUUAGAGUAAGUGUGUGCUGAGCUUUUGUGUUUGAAAGCGAGCCUGUGCACUUCUAACGAUUGGAAGGUUUCCUUGCCUUCUCCGAUCUUACACACAGCAAGGACAGCAAAGCCUUCCAGACCUGCCUGUGACAUGCACUGCACAUUCUAAAGAUGCCUAUGCAAUGGAAAACACCACUGUCUGCUCCAGCACAGCUGCCAUUCUUCCAUCUUAUCGACCUUAAUGCAACAACUCCUCACAGGCAGAGAUUUUAAAAUGUGUUCUUGGCAGAAGAGAGACUCAAAGAUGGGACAAAUGUGUCAUUUAAAUGCCUGUUAAAAUGGAAACAGACAUAGUAUAGUCAGAGGAUUGUGGCAGCUAAGAACAUAGUCUCUGGAGCAAAUCUGCAUGGGUGGCAAUGCCAAGCACAUGAGGUCCUAGUUGUAUGAACUUAGGAAAAGAAAAAGAGAACAUAUAUCCCCCUACCUUUUGAUUUCCAACAGUCUACUGAGAGGCCAAGAUUAUUUGCAGGGAAAGAAAAGGGGUCAAAAUGUUUUGCCAGUAACUCCCAAAUCAUCUACAGCCAAGGAGAAAAGUGUUUCAAGACAGAGGUGCUCAAUGGUAUCAAAUACUGCCAACAGACCAAGUAAUACAUGCAUUGAAGUGUCUACUGGAUCUAGCUAUAUGAAUUUUUAAUUUAGGACACUUAGGCCAUACUGAAGCAAGGUGACAAAAUGAAUAGCUACAAUGUCUCGUGAAUCUUGGGUUUCCAUUCACCCUGGUAUUCAAGAGAAAUUCUUGCAUCAUGGAAGUUGCAGUUGGAUAGGACUUUCUCAGCUGAACACUGUCAUCUGCCAGAGCUUCAGGCAAGAACCCAGAACAGAUGAAACCCCAGACAUGACAAAAUAAGCCAAAGAAUACCAGGCCAAGGUGUGAAAGGCCAGAUGAGAACAAGCAGCGUACACGAUUCUGUUGCCAACAGAUCUCCCCUAACAGUGUCGUGCACCAAAUUUCCACAGUGAAUGUCAGGAAAAAAUGGCAAUUGAGGUGGGUGGUCAAAAGAGAAGCACAGUCUAUGAUGAAGUCACCCCAGAGAAGUCCUUUUUCCGUUUUCUCCUGAGAAAUUACCAGAAGAAAUUAAAAUCCUUUUGAGUAUUGCAUU
ensembl:lncRNA LINC00710 long intergenic non-protein coding RNA 710